AGUUAGCCUUGGCCGUUUAUCGGUUUCCUGUGUUGUAUACCUACUAUAAUGGAAUUCGAAUGUGCAAUAUUUUGUUAUUCGCCUUGUGCUGUCCCAUUGGUUGUCCCUUUGGGGUGCGGUGUCGGGUGAACCUCGAAGCGAUCUUCAUGUUCUUCGUCGCCCACGAAAUGUGUUGUCGGCGCGGCCCAUGAAGAUUGCUUGAGCUCUCGGAUGUGGAAUAUGCAGAGGGCAGUAGGCCUACAGCCUCUCUUUGCCCGAAUUAAGCGUUUAUUCGCUCAUUACCGAACGACGGCCUGUGGUGCCUUGAUGUGUUGGARCCCUCAGGUUUUGGCAUUCAUCAUGCAUCCCUGGCGUCAAUAAGGAAUGCUACCUGGUUGAUCCUGCCA
rnacentral:misc_RNA from 1 species